AAUAAUUAAAGGAGUUUGAUGGGGAAAUUUAUUAUAAAAGUUAAAGGUGAAAUUUGGUGUUUAAGUGUAGUAAGUUUGUUUAUUAAGAGUUCUUGAGGUUAUAAAAUUUUAGAUCUAAAUCAGGAUUAGAUACCCUGUUAUACUAUCUUUCAAUUUAAGGAUACUUGAGUAGUAAUCAGUUAUGUUCUCGAAACUUAAAGGAUUUGGCGGUAUUUUAGUCUAGUUAGAGGAACCUGUUCUAUAAACGAUAAACCACGAAGAAUCUUACUCUUUUUUGUAAAUCAGUUUGUAUACCGUCAUUAUUAGAUAAUCUUUAUAAAGAAUUAUUAAAAUAAGUAUUUUAGUAUAUUAGAUCAAGGUGCAGCCAAUAAGGGAGCAAGAAAUGGGUUACAAUGUUAUUGAUAUAAACUGGGAAGAAGCUGAAAAUUUUUUUGAAGGUGGAUUUAAUAGUAAUAGUCUUUUAAUAAGGGAUUAUGAUAAUAGCUCUAAGAUAUGUACACAUCGCCCGUCGCUCUCACUCUUAAUGU
rnacentral:rRNA from 1 species